GGCGUCUCAGAAAUGUUUCUAAUUUUGUCAGGCUUGUUCAUAAUUUGCCGAGUUUGCAAAUCCACCUCGCUUGCCCCCAUCUUGUUUAUAAUUCUGUUCAUACGGGCCUCGUUUUUAAACCGUGAUUACGAUUUGUGGCGCGUGGAGUUCGCUUCGUAAUCACAAGGGUCCGUGGUUUGGUCCACAGCGUGGACAUGUUUAGCAAGUGUUUUUACCACACCUAUGGGUCAACCCAUGCCAUGUGAGGGAAAUUUGGUAGGUAAUGCCGUUGUAUACUUAAUGUAUACAUUUAGAUCACGGGACCCCCAUUGAUAACAGUGUCUGAAUAAUAAUAAUAAUUACAUCAUUGAAUAGCAUAUCCAUAAGUAGUUUACAUAACUUUUUAUCGACUUAAAAACCUAAAUAAAUAGUCAUCAUUCUUCCUAAUUACUAUAGACAAAAACUGAUCUAGUAUAAUUCGAACAGCGACUUAUUGACUUUGGGGACAAAAAAUUUGGGCCAGAAAAUAGAUAUAGCUAUGCCUUGAUAUGAAAUGAUUAAAAAACCUUCGUUUAUUCUCUUAUAUAAAAUAGUUGAGUGGCAUUUAAUGAACGUCUGUUAGAAGAUCUUGCUCAAAAUCCGACGAGGAAUAACGCAUCAAGUUUUUUUUUUUUUUUUUUUAGGAAAUUGAUAUAGAGGUGGAUUGGAUGUACAAUCCUUUACCCUAGACGGACGAUCAACGAUAUUAAAUUUGUGAUGAUGACUUAAUGAUGUAAAGCGACAUUUAUUUCCCUUCUCCUUAUUGGCCUCCAUCUUGUUAUGUUAUCACACACAACUAUAUUAAUUCGCAUGAACUUUUCUAGAUGGAAACCAGGCGUUCUAGAUAUUUGUGAUCAAUUAAGAUAUGUAUAACUCCAUUGGGAGGUGUCAAAUGAUAAAAUGUUAAGUCUAUCAGAAUAAAGAAGUAUAUUUGAUGCGAAUGGACGGAUGAAUAUAUUUUUUCAGCCGAUGUGUUUAUUUGGAACUGUGCAGAUAUCGGUAAAAAACUGGCUGUCGACUUAAACGUCUUGUGUAAACUGGUUAUGCGAAAUACUAUAUACGACCAAGUCAUAUGUGCGUAUUUCAUGGACAAGCAAGUUCUCAGGUUUUAAAAUGGAAACCAUUCCAUCUCGUGAAGAAACUUGAUUUGGAAUCGUUGAAUGCAAUACCGCCUGUCGAUCGCUGGAAGAACUAUCCAAUAAAAAAGCGGAAAAAUACAACUUUUAAUUGUCAAAUAUGCUUCAAUUAAUAGACCAAAGAGAAAACAGAAAAGCGAACGUCCACAAUUUUUUUACAAAAGAGAGGAAGGCCAUUAAUGCUUCGACCGUCGAAUGAAGAAGUCAAGAAUGGGCUGUGGUAAACAUUGUGUCGCAGUCAUAACAGCAAAGAUAUUUCAUCACUUCUUUGCUGAUGAACUUUGGUCAGACGCCUCUUAAAUGUGCUCUCAAUGUAAACCAAACUUUUACAAAAGAGAUGAAGCCGUCAAUCCGAAAAACCUCUACAAUUUAACUGAAUCAAGGACCAUUAUGUUUAUAUGACCGUGGAAUAAUUUUAAAUGGCUAGGAAGGAGCUUCAAUCACGGAAGCCUUCGAAAGGUGAACAAAAGGUCUCAAUUCGCUAGAUCCGUUUUUUACCAUUGAUCGAGUGGAUGAUUACGAUAAACCAACUUUCAACGAAAUGCUACUGGAUCUUGAUUAUGUCGCGUUUUUAUUUGAAGGAUAGGCGUUGAAAAACGCUUUUUGUAUUUUUAAUAGUGAUCUGUAAACGUUUUUUUGAAAGAUUCAUAUAAAAAACACUUUAUACUGAAAAAAUGCUGAAAUUGCAAAAAUUAGUUCUGCUGUUUUUCCUAUGAAGACUGAUUCGCAAAAAUACUGCAAUUUACAUCUUUUUCAAGAGCGUCAAUCAAGUUUCGCUAAAUGUUCUGAUCGCAAAAAAUAUGUUUCUUAUCUCAAGAUUUCUGCUACUACAUUCGCAGAAGCAUCUGUUCUUAAUGUACACUUUUCUUGUUCGAAUUUUAAAAUGACCGAUGAAACAGGUUGAGAUAAAACAACAACAACAACAACAACAAGACAUCUGAUAUUCGAGUACUCGGUAUUCCACUUAUCAUUCGCCUUAACAGUCAUAAUCAGGAAUUUAAACUUUUAGCUUUCGAUCUGGACGAUCAUAUGAAGAGCGUUUUUUUUUUUUUAGUACGGUGCUUUAUUUGCCAUAUUAAUACUCUAGUCAAGAAAAUUCACAUACAAAACUCCUGCAGUGACCGUGAAAUAUCAAGGUCAUUUAAGAAAAUAUAUUAUAAAAUUAUAAUGUUCAACUAUGGAUCAGUGGCGCAGUUGGAUAGCGCGUUUCAUUACGAAGCACUGAUUCGGUGGUUCGAGCCCACCAAGAUGCAGAUCUUAAAAACCGUGGUAUUCAGAACGAACGAACGCAACGGAAGAUAGAUAUCGUGAUUCAAACACUGCUACAAGGAUUAUAUUCUGCGAGAAAGAGGAAGAGAAAGAGUCAACAUGGUGAGUUGCACAAAGACUCAGUCUAAGACAUGGUGAGUAAUAUGGUCACGGAGAAGGUAAGACAAACGCGUAAAGUGCGUUUCGAGGUAAGUAUACAUA